rnacentral:rRNA from 1 species
AGAGUUUGAUCAUGGCUCAGAGCGAACGCUGGCGGCAGGCUUAACACAUGCAAGUCGAGCGGGCGUAGCAAUACGUCAGCGGCAGACGGGUGAGUAACGCGUGGGAACGUACCUUUUGGUUCGGAACAACACAGGGAAACUUGUGCUAAUACCGGAUAAGCCCUUACGGGGAAAGAUUUAUCGCCGAAAGAUCGGCCCGCGUCUGAUUAGCUAGUUGGUGAGGUAAUGGCUCACCAAGGCGACGAUCAGUAGCUGGUCUGAGAGGAUGAUCAGCCACAUUGGGACUGAGACACGGCCCAAACUCCUACGGGAGGCAGCAGUGGGGAAUAUUGGACAAUGGGCGCAAGCCUGAUCCAGCCAUGCCGCGUGAGUGAUGAAGGCCCUAGGGUUGUAAAGCUCUUUUGUGCGGGAAGAUAAUGACGGUACCGCAAGAAUAAGCCCCGGCUAACUUCGUGCCAGCAGCCGCGGUAAUACGAAGGGGGCUAGCGUUGCUCGGAAUCACUGGGCGUAAAGGGUGCGUAGGCGGGUCUUUAAGUCAGGGGUGAAAUCCUGGAGCUCAACUCCAGAACUGCCUUUGAUACUGAAGAUCUUGAGUUCGGGAGAGGUGAGUGGAACUGCGAGUGUAGAGGUGAAAUUCGUAGAUAUUCGCAAGAACACUAGUGGCGAAGGCGGCUCACUGGCCCGAUACUGACGCUGAGGCACGAAAGCGUGGGGAGCAAACAGGAUUAGAUACCCUGGUAGUCC